UAUAUCGGAACGUACCCUGGAGUGGGGGAUAACGUAGCGAAAGUUACGCUAAUACCGCAUACGAUCUAAGGAUGAAAGUGGGGGAUUCGCAAGAACCUCAUGCUCCUGGAGCGGCCGAUAUCUGAUUAGCUAGUUGGUGGGGUAAAGGCCUACCAAGGCAUCGAUCAGUAGCUGGUCUGAGAGGACGACCAGCCACACUGGAACUGAGACACGGUCCAGACUCCUACGGGAGGCAGCAGUGGGGAAUUUUGGACAAUGGGCGCAAGCCUGAUCCAGCAAUGCCGCGUGAGUGAAGAAGGCCUUCGGGUUGUAAAGCUCUUUUGUCAGGGAAGAAACGGUGAAGGCUAAUAUCCUUUGCUAAUGACGGUACCUGAAGAAUAAGCACCGGCUAACUACGUGCCAGCAGCCGCGGUAAUACGUAGGGUGCAAGCGUUAAUCGGAAUUACUGGGCGUAAAGCGUGCGCAGGCGGUUUUGUAAGUCUGUCGUGAAAUCCCCGGGCUCAACCUGGGAAUUGCGAUGGAGACUGCAAGGCUAGAAUCUGGCAGAGGGGGGUAGAAUUCCACGUGUAGCAGUGAAAUGCGUAGAGAUG
rnacentral:rRNA from 1 species